rnacentral:rRNA from 1 species
GACGAACGCUGGCGGCGUGCCUAAUACAUGCAAGUAGGACGCAGUUGCGAACGGGUGAGUAACGCGUAUGUAACUACCUAUUAGAGGGGGAUAACUAUUGGAAACGAUAGCUAAUACCGCAUACUAGUAGAUUGACCUGCGUUGUAUUAGCUAGUAGGUAGGGUAAUGGCCUACCUAGGCAACGAUACAUAGCCGAACCUGAAGGGUGGUCCGCCAAAAUGGGAACGGAACACGGGCCAGGCUCCUACGGGAGGCAGCAGGAGGGAAUCGUCGGGAAUGGGGGGAACCCUGACCAAGCAACGCCGCGGGAGUGAAGAAGGUUUUCGGAGCGUAAAGCUCUGUUGUGAAGGAAGCGGUACUUACCCAGAAAGGGACGGCUAACUACGUGCCAGCAGCAGCGGUAAUAC